AACGACAGAAGAACAGGAAGGAACGGAUCGUUCCGGUCAAAGCGGGUUAUUCUGAGUUGUUCUGAAACAAUCUGUUAAAAAUUGUUCCUUGAAAAACUGAGAACAAUUUUGUUCUUCUAUUUAUUUUAUUAGAUAAAUAGAUAUAUAAAUAUAAAUAAAUAUAUUAAUAUAAAUAUUAUUUUUAUCAUAAUAUAUUUCGACUUAAAUUUUAUUAUAUAAUAAAAAUUAAUUAAAUUUGAUAUAUUAUUUAUUUUAUUAAGUUUUAUUAUUUAUAUAUUAAUAUUUAAUUAUUUUAUUUUAUAUUAAGUAUUAUAUAUAAUAAUUAUUUUUUCAUGCAUUAUAUAUUUUUUAAGUUUGUAUUGAAAUUUACACUAUUAUUAAUUAAAAUAAUAAGGAUAUCAUUACAUAUAUUAUGAAUAAAUUAUAUAAAAUAAAUUAUUAUUAUAUAUAGUAAAAUAAAUAUACUAUUUGAAAUUAAAUUGUUACAUAAAAUAUUAUAUUAUAAAUUACUAUAGAAAUAAUUUUAUAAAUAAUUGUAUAUAAAAUACACUUAUAUAAACUAAUUAUUUUAUUUUUAAAAACAUAUUUAAAUAUUGUUCUACACUUUUUAUCCAAAUGCUACUAAGGAUAUCUUCUAGAAUAUCCCCAAAUGCAUGCAAACAUAAAUUUACAAUUAUUCUAUAUUAUACCGAAAUAUUUUCUAUUCUCGGAAACAAUAAAAAUUGUUCUUCAAAAUUUAGUUCUCCAACCAAAUGCAGCCUUCAAGUUUAUUGAUUUGCUAAAGUAAAUUAAUUACAUGCGACUCUAC
rnacentral:lncRNA from 1 species